UUGCAGGGAACAAGGGUCGUUUUCUUUUGAGAACAUGCAUUCUGCCACUCACUCAGUUCUUCUGAUCAUCUUAAUAUUCAGAGGGACCAAUGGUGACUCAGUGAACCAGACAGAAGGCCCAGUAACUGUCUCAGAGGGGGCUCUCAUGACCCUGAACUGCACUUACCAGACUGCUAAUCCAGCUCCCUAUCUUUUCUGGUAUAUCCAGCAUCUCGACAAAGCUCCUCGACUCCUCCUGAAGGGCUCGAUGUCAGACCCGAAGCCAAAGAGUGAAGGUUUUCAGGCCACUCUUGUUCAGAGUGACAGGUCCUUCCACCUGCAGAAACGGGCAGUGCAAGCAUCAGACUCGGCUGUGUACUACUGUGCUCUGAGUGACACAGUGACGCAGGGCUGCGGGGGAGCUGAGCACAAACCCAGAGUGCAGAUGGGGCUCUGGCUGUGGGCAGCCCUGCACGGGGGUGUUGUUUCUCUCUCCAGUGAGCUCUCCUAGAGAAACUGUCAAAGCACUUCCAGGUCUGCUCCUCAGAGCCAAGGACCUAUGAAUUCUUGGGUUGCCCUACA